GUAUUGUUCCCGUUGCUUUUGGACAGAUGAUCACAAGCGAGUGUAAAAGACUACGCAGAGAUUCUUACAAAAGCACGGGAACCUAGAACAGUAUUUUAUAUUUAAAAAAUUAAUAAAAUAGAAACAGUUAUUAUAUUGAAAUCUUUUUAUUUACUACGGUCACCUAUAUCAAAUUCAACAGAUCAAUUUGCCGCCUGAAGAAGAAAGGUAAUCAAAUUUAUAAUGAAUUUAUACGUGUGAAUCGAAUUUACAUAACUAGGUACCUCCCUGCCUUAUUUU